GCUAGCUGCGGGCGACUUUGUUUGGGACGCUGGGUUCUGCUUUUCCAGAAUCCUGCGCUUUCCAAAAGGAAGACGGCAUGAUUAAGUUUCAGGUAAGUUAAGGGUUUCUUUGUCCUUAAAUAUGCUGUUCAUUCUGAGGAACCAGACACUUCUGUUUUCUAAAAGGAGGUCAGCAUUUUUUGAGUGACUGAAAGGAGGUCAGCAUUUUUUGAGUGACUACUAUGUAUUAGGUACUUUAUCUUGCUCAUAAUGACUUUGUGAGGCAGGUGGUUUGAUUCCCUUUAUAGAAGUGAAGAAACAAACUCACAGAUUUCAAGAUGUCUACUUUGGUGCUACUCUAAGUGUAGUUCAUGUACCAGUACCAGUCCAUGAACUGCUUAUCACUGCCCCAUGAGGGAAAAAGAAUCAAGAGUAAGUUCAGAAACUUUUAUAGCAGUUUGGUGUUGCCGCAGCAUCUGAGUGCAUGGGCAGCAUAUACAUGACCAUACUCUAAAUGUGACUGGUCUCGUUCAAUAAGUAGCAAGAUUUGAAUGAGUAUGUAUUGGUCAGAGUUCAACUAGCAAGGCAGAACCAGUAAGAGAUAUAUAUUAAGAGAUUUAUCAUAAGGAAUUGACUUAUAUGAUUAUGGGGGCUAACUAGGCAAGACCAAAAUCCACAGG
rnacentral:sRNA from 1 species